UGAUUAUUUAAAUGGCCGCGGUACCUUGACCGUGCUAAGGUAGCAUAAUAACUUGUCUCUUAAUUAGAGACUGGAAUGAAUGGAAUCACGAGAGUCAAACUGUUUCUUUUUUAUAAAUAAAAAUUAACCUUUAAGUGAAGAGGCUUAAAUUUCUUAAAAAGACAAAAAGACCCUAUUGAGCUUGAUCUAAAAAUAUGUUUUCAUCUUUAAGAUUUUGUUGGGGCAACAAGAGAUAAUCUAAAUCCUCUCUUUUCUUUAUAUAGAUCCACCAAGUGAUCAGUAAAAAAAGCUACCAUAGGGAUAACAGGCUAAUUCUUUUUGAGAGACCAAAUUGACAAAAGAGUUUGGCACCUCGAUGUUGGCUUAGGAAACCUAUCAGAUGUAGAAGUCUGAUUAGUGGGUUUGUUCAACCCUUAAAAUCCUACGUGAUCUGAG
rnacentral:rRNA from 1 species